UACGUAGGUGGCGAGCGUUGUCCGGAAUUACUGGGCGUAAAGGAUGCGUAGGUGGGUUAGUAAGUCAGAUGUGAAAUCCCCGAGCUUAACUUGGGUAGUGCAUUUGAAACUAUUAAUCUAGAGUGCAGGAGAGGUAAGUGGAAUUCCUAGUGUAGCGGUGAAAUGCGUAGAUAUUAGGAAGAACACCAGUGGCGAAGGCGACUUACUGGACUGUAACUGACACUGAGGCAUGAAAGCGUGGGGAGCAAACAGG
rnacentral:rRNA from 1 species